rnacentral:rRNA from 1 species
UACCAUGCUCGUCGACGGCAGCACRGAAKAGCUUGCUCUUUGKRUGGCGAGUGGCGGACGGGUGAGUAAUGUCUGGGAAACUGCCCGAUGGAGGGGGAUAACUACUGGAAACGGUAGCUAAUACCGCAUAACGUCGCAAGACCAAAGUGGGGGACCUUCGGGCCUCACACCAUCGGAUGUGCCCAGAUGGGAUUAGCUAGUAKGUGGGGUAAUGGCUCACCUAGGCGACGAUCCCUAGCUGGUCUGAGAGGAUGASCASCCACACUGGAACUGAGACACGGUCCADACUCMUACKGGAGGCAGCASUGGGGAAUAUUGCACAAUGGGCGCMASCCUGAUGCAVCCMUGCCGCGUGUAUGAASAASGCCUUCKGGUUGUARAGUACUUUCAGCGGGGASGAAGGMGGUGAGGUUAAUAACCUCGYCGAUUGWCGUUACCCGCAGAAGAMGCACCGGCUAACUCCKUGCCAKCAGCCGCGGUAAUACGGAGGGUGCAAGCGUUAAUCGGAAUUACUGKKCGUAUAGCGCACGCRUGCGGYCUGUUAAGUCMUAUGUKAAAUYCCCGGGCUUAACCUGGGAACUGCAUUUGAAACUGGCAGGCUUGAGUCUCGUAUAGGGGGGUAGAAUUCCACGUGUCCGGUGAAAUGCGUAAGAUCUGGAGGAAUACCGGUGGAGAAUGGAGCCCACCUGGACGAAGACUGACGCUCACGUGCGAAAGCGUGGGGAGCGACACGAUUACAUACUCUGGUAUUCCCGCCGUACACGAUGUCUACUUGGAGGUUGUGCCCAUGAUGCGUGGCUUCCGGAGCUAACGCGUUAAGUCCGCCACCUGGUGGAGUAGUGCCGCACGGUUAAACUCAGUUGAAUUGACGGG